GUGAAAUCAAAGACUUUGUCAACAAUUGUCCCACUUGCAAUGAAUAUGCACACUCGCAACAAAAAUAAACCAUGAUGUCACAUAAGAUACCUACACGUCCUUGGCAGAUUGUCAGCAUGGACUUAUUUAAAUAUGCUGGAAAAGAGUACCUGCUCUUAGUCGAUCAUUACUCAGACUUCUGGGAAAUUGAACUGCUUCCUGACUUGUCCACUGAAACUACAAUUCAGCGAUGCAAGGCGCAAUUUGCACGUCAUGGCCAACCAACUAAAGUGAUUUCUGAUAAUGGUCCUCAGUUUGCAAGCUUACAGUUCAGGAAAUUUGCCACAGAAUGGG